UACGUAGGGUGCAAGCGUUAAUCGGAAUUACUGGGCGUAAAGCGUGCGCAGGCGGCUUUGCAAGACAGAUGUGAAAUCCCCGGGCUUAACCUGGGAACUGCAUUUGUGACUGCAUGGCUGGAGUGCGGCAGAGGGGGAUGGAAUUCCGCGUGUAGCAGUGAAAUGCGUAGAUAUGCGGAGGAACACCGAUGGCGAAGGCAAUCCCCUGGGCCUGCACUGGACGCUCAUGCACGAAAGCGUGGGGAGCAAACAGG
rnacentral:rRNA from 1 species